CCUUAGAGACCAACUAAGUUUGUUCUUGGUAUAAGCUUUCGUGUACAUGCACAUGAAAGCUUAUACCAAGAACAAACUUAGUUGGUCUCUAAGG